rnacentral:rRNA from 1 species
AGCGAACGCUGGCGGCAGGCCUAACACAUGCAAGUCGAACGAUCCUUCGGGAUAGUGGCGGACGGGUGAGUAACACGUGGGAACGUGCCCUCCGGUUCGGAACAACUCAGGGAAACUUGAGCUAAUACCGGAUGUGCCCUUCGGGGGAAAGAUUUAUCGCCAUUGGAGCGGCCCGCGUUGGAUUAGGUAGUUGGUGGGGUAAUGGCCCACCAAGCCUACGAUCCAUAGCUGGUCUGAGAGGAUGAUCAGCCACACUGGGACUGAGACACGGCCCAGACUCCUACGGGAGGCAGCAGUGGGGAAUCUUGCGCAAUGGGCGAAAGCCUGACGCAGCCAUGCCGCGUGAAUGAUGAGGGUCUUAGGAUUGUAAAAUUCUUUCACCGGGGACGAUAAUGACGGUACCCGGAGAAGAAGCCCCGGCUAACUUCGUGCCAGCCGCCGCAGUAACAC